GCGGAGGAAAAGAAACCAACAGGGAUUGCCCUAGUAACGGCGAGUGAAGCGGCAUCAGCUCAAAUUUGAAAUCUGGCUCUUUCAGAGUCCGAGUUGUAAUUUGCAGAGGGCGCUUUGGUGUCGGCAGCGGUCCAAGUUCCUUGGAACAGGACGUCACAGAGGGUGAGAAUCCCGUACGUGGUCGCUGACCUACACCGUGUAAAGCCCCUUCGACGAGUCGAGUUGUUUGGGAAUGCAGCUCUAAAUGGGAGGUAAAUUUCUUCUAAAGCUAAAUACUGGCCAGAGACCGAUAGCGCACAAGUAGAGUGAUCGAAAGAUGAAAAGCACUUUGGAAAGAGAGUUAAACAGCACGUGAAAUUGUUGAAAGGGAAGCGCUUGCAGCCAGACUUGCUUGCAGUUGCUCAUCCGGGCUUUUGCCCGGUGCACUCUUCUGCGAGCAGGCCAGCAUCAGUUUGGACGGUUGGAUAAAGGCCUCUGUCACGUACCUUCUCUCGGGAAGGCCUUAUAGGGGAGGCGUCAUGCAACCAGUCUGGACUGAGGUCCGCGCAUCUGCUAGGAUGCUGGCGUAAUGGCUGUAAGCGGCCCGUCUUGAAACACGGACCAAGGAGUCUAACAUCUAUGCGAGUGUUUGGGUGUCAAGCCCGAGCGCGUAAUGAAAGUGAACGGAGGUGGGAUCCCGUAAGGGUGCACCAUCGACCGAUCCUGAUGUCUUCGGAUGGAUUUGAGUAAGAGCAUGGCUGUUGGGACCCGAAAGAUGGUGAACUAUGCUUGAAUAGGGUGAAGCCAGAGGAAACUCUGGUGGAGGCUCGCAGCGGUUCUGACGUGCAAAUCGAUCGUCAAAUUUGGGCAUAGGGGCGAAAGACUAAUCGAACUAUCUAGUAGCUGGUUCCUGCGAGU
rnacentral:sRNA from 1 species